rnacentral:rRNA from 1 species
UACAGAGGUCCCGAGCGUUGUUCGGAUUCAUUGGGCGGAAAGGGUGCGUAGGCGGCGGGGAAAGUCUGAUGUGAAAUCCUGGGGCUCAACCCUGGAACUGCAUUGGAUACUUCCUUGCUAGAGUACUGGAGAGGAAACUGGAAUUUACGGUGUAGCAGUGAAAUGCGUAGAGAUCGUAAGGAAGACCAGUGGCGAAGGCGAGUUUCUGGACAGUUACUGACGCUGAGGCACGAAGGCCAGGGGAGCAAACGGG